rfam:Rhodopseudomonas palustris strain BAL398 c446l3817c231.590256, whole genome shotgun sequence.
UGGUCGAGAGGUCUGCAUUGUGGACCGAUGGGAUUGAGUUAUCCCACUCGGCCG